rnacentral:rRNA from 1 species
CCUACGGGAGGCUGCAGACGAGAAUAUUCCGCAAUGGGCGAAAGCCUGACGGAGCGACGCCGCGUGAUGGAUGAAGUGCUUUGGUACGUAAACAUCUUUUAUCGGAGACGAAGUUUAUUGACGGUACCCGAUGAAUAAGAGGCUCCUAACUCUGUGCCAGCAGGAGCGGUAAUACAGAGGCCUCAAGCAUUACCCGGAAUCACUGGGCGUAAAGGGUGUCUAGGCGGCGCUAUUAGUCUUCCGUUAAAUCUGUGGGCCUAACCUGCAGACGGCGGAGGAAACGGUAGCGCUCGAGGGCGCAAGAGGUGCACGGAACUCAUGGUGGAGGGGUGAAAUCCGUUGAUAUCAUGGGGAACACCAAAGGCGAAGGCAGUGCACUGGUGCGUUCCUGACGCUCAAACACGAAAGCCAGGGUAGCGAACGGGAUUAGAUACCCUAGUAGUCC